GACGAACGCUGGCGGCGUGCCUAAUACAUGCAAGUUGAGCGCUGAAGGUUGGUCCUUGUACCAACUGGAUGAGCAGCGAACGGGUGAGAAACGCGUGGGGAAUCUGCCUUUGAGCGGGGGACAACAUUUGGAAACGAAUGCUAAUACCGCAUAAAAACUUUAAACACAAGUUUUAAGUUUGAAAGAUGCAAUUGCAUCACUCAAAGAUGAUCCCGCGUUGUAUUAGCUAGUUGGUGAGGUAAAGGCUCACCAAGGCGAUGAUACAUAGCCGACCUGAGAGGGUGAUUGGCCACAUUGGGAGUGGGACACGGCCCAAACUCCUACGGGAGGCAGCAGUAGGGAAUCUUCGGCAAUGGACGAAAGUCUGACCGAGCAACGCCGCGUGAGUGAAGAAGGUUUUCGGAUCGUAAAACUCUGUUGGUAGAGAAGAAAGUUGGUGAGAGUGGAAAGCUCAUCAAGUGACGGUAACUACGCAGAAAGGGACGGCUAACUACGUG
rnacentral:rRNA from 1 species